rnacentral:rRNA from 1 species
UACAGAGGUGGCAAGCGUUGUUCGGAAUUAUUGGGCGUAAAGAGCUUGUAGGCGGUUUGUCGCGUCUGCUGUGAAAUUUCGGGGCUCAACCCCGAACUUGCAGUGGGUACGGGCAGACUAGAGUGUGGUAGGGGAGACUGGAAUUCCUGGUGUAGCGGUGAAAUGCGCAGAUAUCAGGAGGAACACCGAUGGCGAAGGCAGGUCUCUGGGCCACUACUGACGCUGAGAAGCGAAAGCAUGGGGAGCGAACAGG